CAGCAGUCGCGAANCCUUGNCAAUGCGGGAAUCCGUGAUCAGGGGACUCCAAGUGCCAGGAGUAAGAUCCUGUGCUUUUCAUCUCUCUUCAAAGGAUUUGGAAUAAGGGGUGGGUAAGGNCGGUGCCAGCCGCCGCGGUAAUACCGGCGCCUCAAGUGGUAGUCGAUUUUAUUGGGCCUAAAACGUCCGUCGCCGNUCUGGUGCAUUCGUGGGUAAANCGNCCCGCUCAACNGGUUNAAUUNUGCGAGCACNGCCAGACUAGGGACCGGNAGAGGUGUA
rnacentral:rRNA from 1 species